GAUGAACGCUGGCGGCGUGCCUAAUACAUGCAAGUCGAGCGAACAGACGAGGAGCUUGCUCCUCUGACGUUAGCGGCGGACGGGUGAGUAACACGUGGAUAACCUACCUAUAAGACUGGGAUAACUUCGGGAAACCGGAGCUAAUACCGGAUAAUAUAUUGAACCGCAUGGUUCAAUAGUGAAAGACGGUUUUGCUGUCACUUAUAGAUGGAUCCGCGCCGCAUUAGCUAGUUGGUAAGGUAACGGCUUACCAAGGCAACGAUGCGUAGCCGACCUGAGAGGGUGAUCGGCCACACUGGAACUGAGACACGGUCCAGACUCCUACGGGAGGCAGCAGUAGGGAAUCUUCCGCAAUGGGCGAAAACCUGACGGAGCAACGCCGCGUGAGUGAUGAAGGUCUUCGGAUCGUAAAACUCUGUUAUUAGGGAAGAACAAAUGUGUAAGUAACUAUGCACGUCUUGACGGGACCUAAUCAGAAAGCCACGGCUAACUACGU
rnacentral:rRNA from 1 species